rnacentral:rRNA from 1 species
UACGUAGGGGGCUAGCGUUGUCCGGAAUUAUUGGGCGUAAAGGGCUCGUAGGCGGUCUGUUGCGUCGGGAGUGAAAACUUACAGCUUAACUGUGAGCGUGCUUCCGAUACGGGCAGACUUGAGGUAUUCAGGGGAGAACGGAAUUCCUGGUGUAGCGGUGAAAUGCGCAGAUAUCAGGAGGAACACCGGUGGCGAAGGCGGUUCUCUGGGAAUAUCCUGACGCUGAGGAGCGAAAGUGUGGGGAGCGAACAGG